AAUCCAUAGGUUAAUGAGGCGAACCGGGGGAACUGAAACAUCUAAGUACCCCGAGGAAAAGAAAUCAACCGAGAUUCCCCCAGUAGCGGCGAGCGAACGGGGAGGAGCCCAGAGCCUGAAUCAGCAUGUGUGUUAGUGGAAGCGUCUGGAAAGGCGCGCGAUACAGGGUGAGAGCCCCGUACACAAAAGCGCACGUGCUGUGAGCUCGAUGAGUAGGGCGGGACACGUGGUAUCCUGUCUGAAUAUGGGGGGACCAUCCUCCAAGGCUAAAUACUCCUGACUGACCGAUAGUGAACCAGUACCGUGAGGGAAAGGCGAAAAGAACCCCGGCGAGGGGAGUGAAACAGAACCUGAAACCGUGUACGUACAAGCAGUGGGAGCCCCACCACUAAGCCAGUGGUGAACUCCACAUACGCAUCCUUUGCUGAGGAUACGGUUAACGGAGCGAAAGCGACGUUCAACCGCAAAAGAAGCAGAGGGGGCUUAGUGGUGGGGUGACUGCGUACCUUUUGUAUAAUGGGUCAGCGACUUAUAUUCUGUAGCAAGGUUAACCGCAUAGGGGAGCCGGAGGGAAACCGAGUCUUAAUUGGGCGUUAAGUUGCAGGGUAUAGACCCGAAACCCGGUGAUCUAGCCAUGGGCAGGUUGAAGGUUGGGUAACACUAACUGGAGGACCGAACCGACUAAUGUUGAAAAAUUAGCGGAUGACCUGUGGCUGGGGGUGAAAGGCCAAUCAAACCGGGAGAUAGCUGGUUCUCCCCGAAAGCUAUUUAGGUAGCGCCUCGUGAAUUCAUCUCCGGGGGUAGAGCACUGUUUCGGCCAGGGGGCCAUCCCGGCUUACCAAUCCGAUGCAAACUGCGAAUACCGGAGAAUGUUAUCACGGGAGACACACGGCGGGUGCUAACGUCCGUCGUGAAGAGGGAAACAACCCAGACCGCCAGCUAAGGUCCCAAAGUCAUGGUUAAGUGGGAAACGAUGUGGGAAGGCCCAGACAGCCAGGAUGUUGGCUUAGAAGCAGCCAUCAUUUAAAGAAAGCGUAAUAGCUCACUGGUCGAGUCGGCCUGCGCGGAAGAUGUAACGGGGCUAAACCAU
rnacentral:rRNA from 1 species